UACGGAGGGGGCUAGCGUUGUUCGGAAUUACUGGGCGUAAAGCGCACGUAGGCGGACGAGAAAGUCAGAGGUGAAAUCCCAGGGCUCAACCUUGGAACUGCCUUUGAAACUUCUUGUCUUGAGGUCGAGAGAGGUGAGUGGAAUUCCGAGUGUAGAGGUGAAAUUCGUAGAUAUUCGGAGGAACACCAGUGGCGAAGGCGGCUCACUGGCUCGAUACUGACGCUGAGGUGCGAAAGCGUGGGGAGCAAAC
rnacentral:rRNA from 1 species